rfam:Oryza sativa (indica cultivar-group) chromosome 3, whole genome shotgun sequence.
AAAGAGACAAACUCUGGGUUUCCGUGCCAACGUUUGACUGUCCGUCUUAUAUAAUUUUUUUUAUAAUUAGUAUUUUCAUUGUUGUUAGAUGAUACAACAUAAUUAAUACUUUAUGUAUGACUUAUCUUUUUAAUUUUUUUCAUAAUUUUUUCAAAUAAGACCGACUGUCAAAUAUUGGAUACGGAAACCAGCGUUUAUC